rnacentral:lncRNA from 13 species
AUGGAACCCUAUGUCCUAUGUAACACACAGCUUUUGACCAGGGCUCUACAGGACUCCCAUAGGGCUCCACAUGGCUCCAGAGGGCUCUACAGGACUCCCAUAGGGCUCUACAGGGCUCCCAUAGGGCUCUACAGGACUCCCAUAGGGCUCUACAGGACUCCCAUAGGGCUCUACAGGACUCUACAGGACUCCCAUAGGGCUCCACAUGGCUCCAGAGGGCUCUACAGGACUCCCAUAGGGCUCCACAUGGCUCCAAUAGGGCUCUACAGGACUCUACAGGGCUCCCAUAGGGCUCUACAGGACUCCCAUAGGGUUCUACAGGACUUUACAGGACUCCCAUAGGGCUCUACAGGGCU